UAGCUCAGUGGUUUGAGCGUGGUGCUGACAACGACAACACCGAGGUCGCGGGUUCGAUUCCUGC
rnacentral:tRNA from 1 species